CCCAGUCAGGUCCCAUGUUGCAGCUUCUACCACCUGCUAAAGAGUACAUCCGAUUAUAACUCUGUCAGUGGGUUAACCCGUUGAUUAGGUCAGAGCCCUCCUGAUCCUAUUGCCUCUUCACGAUUAAUUUGCUGGUUGGAGACCAAGCCUUCGGGAUACUUCAUACCCAAAACAGAACAGAGAUGGUAUAUGCCUGAAGACAGAAUACAAAGUUAAAGAAAACAAAACCCAAAUUGGUUACACAAUACAGGCUGGAGUCACAGGCCCAGUUCAGCAUGCCCAGCUUAGCAAGCUGCCUCUUCAGCUGUCUGGUUCAACACUCAGUCCUGAGCACUUGAGACUCCAUCGACAUUGGUUGAUGAGUGAAUGAGCAAACGUAAGUCUAUUGAAAGGCCUAAGUAAAGGAUGGCCAUAAAGAAAGAGGUCUGCUUCUCGGCAUUUCAGGAUUUCCAGAGAACGGGAGGGGAACAAGAUAAAGG
rnacentral:lncRNA from 1 species